rnacentral:rRNA from 1 species
UACGUAGGGUGCAGGCGUUAAUCGGAAUUACUGGGCGUAAAGGGCGCGUAGGCGGCCUGGCAAGUGGCGGGUGAAAUCCCUCGGCUUAACCGAGGAACUGCCUGUCAGACUGCUUGGCUUGAGACCGGGAGAGGUGAGUGGAAUUCCCAGUGUAGCGGUGAAAUGCGUAGAUAUUGGGAGGAACACCAGUGGCGAAGGCGGCUCACUGGACCGGUACUGACGCUGAGGCGCGAAAGCGUGGGGAGCAAACAGG